rnacentral:snRNA from 9 species
AUACUUAGCUGGCGUAGGGAUACCGUUAUUAUGCAGGCGGUUUCCCCAGGGUGAAGCUGCUCCGUUGCACUGCGGAGUGGUUGACCCUUGCGAUUAGUUGCGAUUAUUUCUAUUUUUUAUAAAUUUCACUUCUAUCGUGUGUAAC